GAUGAACGCUGGCGGCAUGCCUAAUACAUGCAAGUCGAACGAGAGGAAGGAAAGCUUGCUUUCCUGAAUCUAGUGGCGAACGGGUGAGUAACACGUAGGUAACCUGCCCAUGUGCCCGGGAUAACUUCUGGAAACGGAUGCUAAAACCGGAUAGGUAGCAGACAAGCAUUUGACUGCUAUUAAAGUGGCUUUGGCCAUGAACAUGGAUGGACCUGCGGUGCAUUAGCUGGUUGGUGAGGUAACGGCCCACCAAGGCGACGAUGCAUAGCCGGCCUGGAGAGGGCGGACGGCCACAUUGGGGACUGAGACACGGGCCCCAAAACUCCUAACGGGGGGCACGA
rnacentral:rRNA from 1 species